rnacentral:tRNA from 2 species
GGCGUCGUAGCCAAGUGGGAAGGCAGGAGUCUGCAAAACUCUUAUUCGCGGGUUCGAUUCCCGCCGACGCCUCCA